UACGUAGGGUGCAAGCGUUGUCCGGAAUUAUUGGGCGUAAAGAGCUCGUAGGCGGUCUGUCACGUCGGCUGUGAAAACCCGAGGCUCAACCUCGGGCCUGCAGUCGAUACGGGCAGACUAGAGUUCGGUAGGGGAGACUGGAAUUCCUGGUGUAGCGGUGAAAUGCGCAGAUAUCAGGAGGAACACCGGUGGCGAAGGCGGGUCUCUGGGCCGAUACUGACGCUGAGGAGCGAAAGCGUGGGGAGCAAACAGG
rnacentral:rRNA from 1 species